rnacentral:tRNA from 1 species
UCUAUUGAAGCCAAAAAGAGGCAUAUUACUGUUAAUAAUAUUAAUGAAUAAAAUUCCAAUUGAA